rnacentral:rRNA from 1 species
AUUGAACGCUGGCGGCAUGCUUUACACAUGCAAGUCGAACGGUAACAGGUCUUCGGAUGCUGACGAGUGGCGAACGGGUGAGUAAUACAUCGGAACGUGCCUAGUAGUGGGGGAUAACUACUCGAAAGAGUAGCUAAUACCGCAUGAGAUCUACGGAUGAAAGCAGGGGACCUUCGGGCCUUGUGCUACUAGAGCGGCUGAUGGCAGAUUAGGUAGUUGGUGGGGUAAAGGCUUACCAAGCCUGCGAUCUGUAGCUGGUCUGAGAGGACGACCAGCCACACUGGGACUGAGACACGGCCCAGACUCCUACGGGAGGCAGCAGUGGGGAAUUUUGGACAAUGGGCGAAAGCCUGAUCCAGCAAUGCCGCGUGCAGGAUGAAGGCCCUCGGGUUGUAAACUGCUUUUGUACGGAACGAAAAGCCUGGGGCUAAUAUCCCCGGGUCAUGACGGUACCGUAAGAACAAGCACCGGCUAACUACGUG